rnacentral:rRNA from 1 species
UACGAAGGGGGCUAGCGUUGCUCGGAAUCACUGGGCGUAAAGGGUGCGUAGGCGGGUCUUUAAGUCAGGGGUGAAAUCCUGGAGCUCAACUCCAGAACUGCCUUUGAUACUGAGGAUCUUGAGUCCGGGAGAGGUGAGUGGAAUUGCGAGUGUAGAGGUGAAAUUCGUAGAUAUUCGCAAGAACACCAGUGGCGAAGGCGGCUCACUGGCCCGGUACUGACGCUGAGGUGCGAAAGCGUAGGGAGCAAACAGG